rnacentral:lncRNA from 1 species
ACGGAGGGGGUAGUUUAGAUUUAUGGGAAACCCAAUCAUUCAACUGGCAAAAGAUCGUCGGUACUCUCAUGUAAUCAUUGAAAUUGACAGCCUCUAUUCCAGCUACCGAAUUUAUGGGAAGUUGCAAGCGGAACGUUCUGAGAUUCCAUCUUUUGUAACUGGACCGAAUUAAUCAUCAACACAUAUACUAUUUGCGCUGAUUUAUUAAACGCAUCAAGGUUGAAAAUUUGAGAUGCCUACGUUCAAAAUUACAUAUAUUUUGGUCAGAAGUAUGAAGAGGAAGUUGAACCAUUAGGUUGUAUCACAUGCAUGCAUGCCGCUAUUGAGGAGGUUUAGCAUAUAAGAAUUAUGAGAAGAAAACACACUCAUGGAUGGAAACUACUAGCAUGCAUGUCUUACUUUUUAGUAUUUGAUCAUUGCAAAUUUAGUUCGUUGAUCAUGGCAAAUUUUAGUUUCUCACUAAUUCACAAUGUAAAAUUUAUUAGAUUUGAUCAUGAAAAAUGUAGUAAUUCACCAUGGCAAAAAAAAUUCAUAGAUCAUGGCAACUUUUAGUUUGAAGAUUUUGCCAUGUCAAAUUCUACUUCAAUUGUACGAUAUCAAAUUUUAGUAAAUGACCAUUGAAAAUUAAGUUUACGAUUCAUGUUAAAAACUCUUUGACUAUGCUAAAUUAAUUGACCAUGACAAUUUUGAGUUUAUAGAUCAUGGCAAAAUUUACUUUCAUGUAUCAUACAAAAUACCAAAAUUAUCCACUCGAUAAUAUUCAUUUAAAAAAACCAUGUUCAUGCAUGGGGUAAUGUGCAUUACGGUAAAAUUUAAACAACGGCAAAUUAAAUCACUUUUGGCCAUCAUUGCCAAACUUUGUCAUUUUUGUUUUGCCAUCAAUGCAAGAGUUUUAUGAGCAUGACAUAUUGUAUUGUUUCUUUGUCCAACUUGUCAAAAUUACUUUUUGUGCUGCCAUGGAAAAUUUAGGUUUAUGGUCACGACAAAUUUGUCUUUAUGAAUCGCGACAUUUUUUAGUGAGCAGACCAUGGUAUUUUUCCUGCGACCACAACAAUUUAUAUUUUGGACAAAUUUCGAAAUAUAAUACAAACCAUGGCAAUUUAAGUUAUGUAGCAUGUCAAUUUUAUUAUAUUUUCUUUGGACCAUGGAAUUUUUUCUAAAGCAUGAAAAUUUUCUAGUUGGCAUGAAAUUUCUCUUUUUCUGUAGGCAGUGUCUGAUAGUUUUAACAAUUAUAAAAAUUUAAGGCACUUUCUAGGUUUUUGUGCCAUUUUUAUUAUACUGAUUAUUUUCUCAGUUUUUUUCAGCUGGGUUUUUCUUCACUUUUCUCAUGCUUUUACUACAAUGUCAUUUGUUAAUUGUAUGUUUUUGUAUACAUAAUAUUUUCUAACUGUUUUUUCUCACUUCUGUUUAAUUUUUGUUUACAAACGUAAUUAUUUGGGCCAGGAGGCCUAGAAAAAGGCCUGGCUAAUGUGGGGUCGGUCGUUCGUGCUGCGGUGACAUCGCAACGAAUGAAACCCAUUUGUUCGUAGUGUCCUGGUUCAUCGAACAAUUCGUUCGGUCCACUCACCUCACAUCCUGAACAUUCGGGAGGUAUCAGUUUCCACGUUACAAGGUCCUUAACUAAAUUCAGCAUAUUUAUUUGUUUUUUUCAAUUAUUUGAAUUGCUUACCGCAUACGUCACGUGGUAUAUUUACUUGUAAAUUGACCGAUCUAUUUGCUAUUCCCUUUGUUAGCUAUACUUUAGUGAUCUAUAUACGCUCUUCUUUUUCUUAACCGAAUUUAUGGGAAGUUUGCAAGCGGAACGUGCAGAGAUUUCACCUUUUGUAACUGAAACGAAUUAACUUUGUAGUCUUCAAGACUGGCUAGGUGCCAGGUCACUGAAUUUUUUUUGGGGCCAGUCAAAUUGUUUUUACCUUCCGAUGUGAAUCUGACUACCUGAUUGCAUUCUUGCACCUCCCGACUACCCAUGUUCAUCUUGUUCCCACAAACCGGCAGAGGCCACGGGCCGGCGACACUCCUGCCACUACCUUCAGACCGUGCAUGUCCUCUGCUCGAUCUCCCUGCACUGUCGUGCUUGCUGCCAUCGAUGAAUAUCCCUCAAAACCUGCGCGCACUAGACUUAUUCCCAUCAUACAUGUACCCCCAGCCCAAGUUUAUCUUUGAAGUUGCCUCCGUCGGUGAUAUUACCGUGGUUAUAAUUAAGACAUUAACAUUGAUACUGUUUGUGUUGAUUUAUUAACCGCAUCAAGGUUGAAACUUGGAGAUGCCUACGUGUCAAAUUACAUAUGUUUUGAUCGGAAGUAUGAAGAGGAAGUUGAACCAUUAGGUUGUAUCACAUGCAUGCAUGCCGCUAUUGAGG